rnacentral:rRNA from 1 species
AUUGAACGCUGGCGGAAUGCUUUACACAUGCAAGUCGAACGGCAGCACGGGGCAACCUGGUGGCGAGUGGCGAACGGGUGAGUAAUACAUCGGAACGUGCCCAAUCGUGGGGGACAACGUAGCGAAAGUUACGCUAAUACCGCAUACGAUCUACGGAUGAAAGCGGGGGAUCGCAAGACCUCGCGCGAAUGGAGCGGCCGAUGUCAGAUUAGGUAGUUGGUGGGGUAAAGGCUCACCAAGCCGACGAUCUGUAGCUGGUCUGAGAGGACGACCAGCCACACUGGGACUGAGACACGGCCCAGACUCCUACGGGAGGCAGCAGUGGGGAAUUUUGGACAAUGGGCGCAAGCCUGAUCCAGCCAUUCCGCGUGCAGGAUGAAGGCCCUCGGGUUGUAAACUGCUUUUGUACGGACGAAAAGGCUUUCUCUAAUACAGGGAGCUCAUGACGGUACCGUAAGAAUAAGCACCGGCUAACUACGUGCCAGCAGCCGCGGUAAU